ACUGGAUGAACUCAACUCAGUUAUGUGCAGGAUUUCCAUCUAAUAAAUAUAUGUAGCCCCAACUAAAAAAAAAGCACAUCCAUACAAGAUAAUUUAAAUGAAUUGGGACUACAUGUAUUUGUUAGAUGGAAAUCCAAUCCAAUUUUUUAUUUUAAGUGCGUCUCACAAA